UACGUAGGGGGCAAGCGUUGUCCGGAUUUAUUGGGCGUAAAGAGCUCGUAGGCGGUCUGUCGCGUCGGAUGUGAAAACCCAGGGCUCAACCCUGGGCCUGCAUUCGAUACGGGCAGACUAGAGUACGGCAGGGGAGACUGGAAUUCCUGGUGUAGCGGUGAAAUGCGCAGAUAUCAGGAGGAACACCGGUGGCGAAGGCGGGUCUCUGGGCCGAAACUGACGCUGAGGAGCGAAAGCGUGGGGAGCAAACAGG
rnacentral:rRNA from 1 species